rnacentral:tRNA from 1 species
GCUUUUGUAGUUUAAGUAGAACAUUAAAUUUGUAAUUUAACAGAGUUGUAGCCAAGAGCU